AGUGAAGAUACUGUAUUCGAAAAAAUUUGGAUUGCUGCAUGUGUGGUUUCAUUGAUGCAUGCUAUUCGUGAUAUUCGGUUUGAAUUCAAUUAUUCAGGAGGUCAAUUUUGGUUUCUUCAGUGGUUAUCUUUAGCCAAUCCAGUUUUGCCGACUGAGAUAACAAUUUGCCGAUUAGCUGACGAGUGGGGGGUGUUCCCUCCCCCACACACCCCCCUGUAGCGCCGCCCCUGCCUAUAGGGUAGUUUUUUUUCGAGUAUAGAUAUUUGCGUUCUGUUUGUUUAGCUUGUUCUGUCUUACAGUGCGUAUCUAUUCGGUUGAAUAAGCUUUUUAUACAGCUCUGUUAUUUUGUGUUGGGUAGGGUGGUUGCUGUUAAAAUUCAGUAUUUGGUCAAUGUGCGUUUUCUUACGGUAGACCUAUGUGUUAAUCGUGCCGUCAUCAGUUCUUGUCAACAAAAUGUCAAGGAAAGUAAGUUGGUUGUUAUCUUCUUCUUUCGCGAAUUUUACAUUUUGUGUAGUAUUGUUUAUAGUAUGUAAAAUGUUGUCAGUCUUCACUAGCGUAGCUAGCCCGACGAUUUAGUCCCGCUACGCAAAUAUUUUUGUGUUCAUUGACUGCGAAAACAAUCUAUUUCUAAAGAAAUGAAUAAUGAUAAUAAGAUUGAUUUUGCAUAGCGGGACUAAAUUGUCAGGCUGGCUACGCCACUGCGUCUUGUCUUUCUUAACUGUAGCAAAGACGUCGUCUACGUAUCUGUUACGGUAUAGGGUAAGUAUCAAUGUGGCAUUUGUAACGUUAUAUUAUUGUAAUAUUAUAUUGUAACGUUAAUUAACAGUUAUUGUACGAAUUCGAGUCGAAUAUAAGCUGAUAGCCGAUGGAGCGCGUACCGCCCAAUCGGUUAUCGCUCAUAUUUGACGAGAGUUAGUGGAAUAACUGUUUUAUUAUAUAUAUACAAGUUCUGAAUUCGCAGACUUUGCUUUUCGGAUAUUUUCAAUAGUUUUCUAUUUUGUUUAUGUUUUUUAUCGUCGCUCUUUCGGCCGAUUAUUUUUUCAAAAAUAGAUAUUUUUAACCGUUUAAAAUUUUAAAAUUUAUUUGCUUACCUGUAAACAAUUUGUGGGAGUUUUUCGUUGUAUUUUUAAUCCUAUAAUGGCUAUAAAAAGCGAACAACUUGCAGUUUUCUCGUUCGCAAAACAUCGGAAAUAAGGGAAAUUCAAUUUCAGCCGCCAUUUUGUUUUUUUUUACUAGCAGUAUGAGCUAAAAUUCUGCCAGUAGAGAACCAAUCAGAUUGCAGAAUACCUCAUAUCCAGACUUUCUGUAUAUAAUGAUAAGAAUUACUCCAUAUCCAUACUGAUUAGUUUCGCUACAGUUAAACUCACUACUAUGAACACUUAAGGGAAUGUCAGAAGCAACAAACUCGUACAAAAGCGUGUUGUUCAUAAAAUGUAAAAAAAUUGUAAUUAGAAACGUAAAGACAUAAAUUGCAACAUUAUAUAGGUGAAGAUCAAGGAAGCAUUCGUGAAAACAAAAAGACAUUAUGUCUCGCGUUUACUCGAUUGACGUAGUGGGGAUAUUAGAUUUUCAAGGUGAAAUGAGAGCCUGCACUGAUGACAUACAAUUUUGAAUAUCUACCCCGUAACGCUCGUUUUUCGAAAUAUGGAAUGUUUAUCCUUAUAUGGUGUUGUUUACAACUUUCGUGUGAACUAAAUUUAGACCGUACAGUUUGUACUAUUUUUCAAAAUAUAAGAUAUUCAAGCA